AAGACUAUACUUUCAGACAUUAUUUCUAUAGUUUGUUACUAGAGGAGUUCCUCUUAUCGUGUGAGCACCCAAAAUCACAGGAUAAGGCAGAGCAUCCUCCUGAGUGAGAAGUUGCUUCUAGAUGUUGCUUUUACAGUUGCCCUUUACUAUUGAUGAUUGUUCUUCUCUUCCUUUGGAAGAGGGAGAGGGAGAGGAAGCAGUCUGAGUGGU